rnacentral:rRNA from 1 species
UACAGAGGGUGCAAGCGUUGCUCGGAUUUACUGGGCGUAAAGCGUACGCAGACGGUGAGAAAGGUCGGAUGUGAAAGCCCCGGGCUCAACCCGGGAACUGCAUCCGAAACCAUCUCGCUCGAGUGUGGGAGAGGGAAGCGGAAUUCCUGGUGUAGAGGUGAAAUUCGUAGAUAUCAGGAGGAACACCGGCGGCGAAGUCGGCUUCCUGGCCCAUUACUGACGUUCAGGUACGAAAGCGUGGGUAGCAAACAGG